AAGACUAUACUUUCAGGGAUCAUUUCUAUAGUUUCUAACUGAGAAAUGCGUUUCGAAAGUGUUUGGUCUCGCUACCCACGAUGACGAGGCAAUGCAUCCCUUUCUGAGCGCGAAGCGGAUAGAGAGUAUUGAUUUUAUCAACCGCUCUCUAUCAUUGAUGACCGUUCCGCUUCUGCAAAGAAUGCGGAGGAAGGGGAUGCGUUCCGAGUGGU